GAUGAACGCUGGCGGCGUGCCUAAUACAUGCAAGUCGAGCGAACGGACGAGAAGCUUUCUUCUCUGAUGUUAGCGGCGGACGGGUGAGUAACACGUGGAUAACCUACCUAUAAGACUGGGAUAACUUCGGGAAACCGGAGCUAAUACCGGAUAAUAUUUUGAACCGCAUGGUUCAAAAGUGAAAGACGGUCUUUCUGUCACUUAUAGAUGGAUCCGCGCUGCAUUAGCUAGUUGGUAAGGUAACGGCUUACCAAGGCAACGAUGCAUAGCCGACCUGAGAGGGGGAUCGGCCACACUGGAACUGAGACACGGUACAGACUACUACGGGAGGAAGCAGUAGGGAAUAUUCCGGAAUGGGCAAAAGCAUGACGGAGCAACGCCGCGUGAGUGAUGAAGGUCUUCGGAUCGUAAAACUCUGUUAUUAGGGAAGAAAAUAUGUGUAAGUAAAUGUGCACAUAUUGACGGUACCUAAUCAGAAAGCCACGGCUAACUACGUG
rnacentral:rRNA from 1 species